UACGAAGGGGGCUAGCGUUGUUCGGAAUUACUGGGCGUAAAGCGCACGUAGGCGGAUCUUUAAGUCAGGGGUGAAAUCCUGGAGCUCAACUCCAGAACUGCCUUUGAUACUGGGGAUCUCGAGUCCGGGAGAGGUGAGUGGAACUCCGAGUGUAGAGGUGAAAUUCGUAGAUAUUCGGAAGAACACCAGUGGCGAAGGCGGCUCACUGGCCCGAUACUGACGCUGAGGCACGAAAGCGUGGGGAGCAAACAGG
rnacentral:rRNA from 1 species